ensembl:miRNA
CUGGAUACAGAGUGGACCGGCUGGCCCCGUCUGGAAGACUAGUGAUUUUGUUGUUGUCUUACUGCGCUCAACAACAAAUCCCAGUCUGCCUAAUGGUGCCAGCCAUCGCA